rnacentral:rRNA from 1 species
ACGAACGCUGGCGGCAUGCCUAACACAUGCCAGUCGCACGAGACCUUCGGGUCUAGUGGCGCACGGGUGCGUAACGCGUGGGAACCUGCCCUUAGGUUCGGAAUAACUCCCCGAAAGGGGUGCUAAUACCGGAUAAUGUCUUCGGACCAAAGAUUUAUCGCCUUUGGAUGGGCCCGCGUUGGAUUAGCUAGUUGGUAGGGUAAAAGCCUACCAAGGCGACGAUCCAUAGCUGGUCUGAGAGGAUGAUCAGCCACACCGGGACUGAGACACGGCCCAGACUCCUACGGGAGGCAGCAGUGGGGAAUAUUGGACAAUGGGCGAAAGCCUGAUCCAGCAAUGCCGCGUGAGUGAUGAAGGCCUUAGGGUUGUAAAGCUCUUUUACCCGGGAUGAUAAUGACAGUACCGGGAGAAUAAGCUCCGGCUAACUCCGUG